AUCGAUUAACGGGUAUUAUGGGAUGAUAUGUACUGGGUAGUAAUAAACUAUUGUUUUACCUCUGAUUAGAUUGAUGUAUGCUGAAAAUGGUGAAAUAUUGGAUGAACGAAAUCGGGAUUUUUGAUCGAAGGAAUUCGUAGAAAUUAUAUGUAGUGAUGUUAGGAUUUGUGAAAUCGAAUAGGGGAUGAUUCGGGUUAGAUGAUAUGAGUAAUAUUGUGUGAAAUUUGGACUGUGGAAGGGUGAAUUGGAUAGAUCUCGUAGCAGAGAAAGCCAUUGCAGAUCUGAGAGUUCUGGUUUCUGGUCAUACGCGUAUGGCACUAGGCAAUACGCGUAUGAGAUGGCUGGUACGCGUAUGGCACUAGGCAAUACGCGUAUGGAUGAGGAAGAUGAUGUUUUGAACGUGUUUUGG
rnacentral:lncRNA from 1 species